rnacentral:lncRNA from 1 species
UCCUCUUCCAUGAACAUAACAUGUAAAUUUCAAAUCAUAAUAUAUAAAGAAACUGUAUAAAUUUAUAGUUUUUUUUUUUGAUAAAAUAGUUUCUUUUGUUAAACAGAGAACCAUGCAGCUGCAGUGGGAAUGUUACGUAUGGGGGCAAUGAUCGAUCGGACGGUGAGAAAUUAAUGAUGAAAGAAUGGGACCUCAAGUGACCUAUCAGGCACGUUAAUUUGCCGAGAGAAGGGUAAUAACACCAACAACUCCAAAAUGGUCACUCAGAUAUAUAGCCACACACAUAGCCAUCUUUAAUUUGUUCAAGCUGUCAAAAACCCUAAAACUUCGAAACUAGCCUAGCCCACUUGAGAUUUCAUCAUCCUUCGAUCAUUGUUCAUUAUCACACAUACAAUUGCAUGUGAUUCGUAGAGUGGUCCAUUUCGUUAAAUCACUGUACCACGUUCUCUCAAAUGUAGUAUUGAAAUUGUGAUUGAUCAAAUUAAAAAAAAAAGAAAGUGAUUGAUUAAUCAGCCCCUUAAGUGUCUUAAUCCUUCUUUAAUACUUGAUUGAAAUUAUAAACUGAAAAUAAC